GAUCGUAUCGUAAUCCAAAAGCAGAAAAAGACAAAAGAAAAACGAAUGUUGAAACGUAAUGAUUUUUCGAGAUACACACGCCCACAGCCAAUUCAAACCUAGUGAUAUCAACAGUUGCCAACGACAGUGAUGAUGGUGAGAAGGCAAUUAGCCUACAGGAGAAGCUAUCGUGCGAAUUCCAAACGUUUUUCUUCGGUUUCCCUGACGCAUCCACAUUUCGAAGAGUCAGAUUUGUCCAUUGUCAAGGCUUCAGCGGUUAUCAUCGAUGUCUGGAGAACACUAAUGAAGGCAGCAGCAACAUCAAUACGUUGUCUGCAUCAUCGCUUUGCUCAGAAAAGCGGAGAACGUGAUAUAUUCACCAUGCAAUUCAUAAUUUUCGUCUCAGUGGCAGUCGGUCUAUGAGUACCUCAUAUUUUUUGGAUUUCGUCAAUGCCACCGACAAUGCAAUUCAACUAGCGUUCAACUAAGCAUCAGCAUCAGGAGCCACGAUUCAAUUACGCUGGCGGGAAUAAGUGAAGAGACUAUCCUAGGCGAUAUGUGUGGGGCGGUCGUGUAAUCUCGAAAUACGUUCCAGUUUAACAGGAUUAGUGGUGUAGUGUGCUUUCCAUCCACGAACUCGUGAUUCGGCUCGAACAAUUGCUUAAACUGUGUAUAAAGCUUCUGAACACACCCCGCUUGUUGGUUGAGAUAUUUCAUUAAGUUUGCGUAUAGGAUUAGGAUAAGUUUCUCGCCGUCGUCGGGAGGCGUGCGUUUGUACUGUUGAUUCGAUUCGCGAUGGGUUUUUUCCGCUGUUGAUUUGAACAUUAGGCGAAACAGCCAUUGCACUCUAUAUCUAGUCAAACUGAGUGAUGGGCGGGCGAGUCCGCAGUGGAGUUCGGCGCCCCAUAAUCAAGUUACUCUUAGCCUAGUUGAACACCAAGCGAACGCAUACAACACCCGAACAUCCGACUUCGUACGGGGCUAGGCUUUGAGUUGGUUCUGAUGUGUAUAUACUAUUUAGGGAAAUUUUAUUUCGUUUUCGUUGAAGCUAUGUAUCCUACUCGAAACGAAGCGGUGUGUAACGGAAACUUGGAAAAUGGCUUUCAGUACUGACGUUUCAGUUCGUGUGAAACCUUUGUCAGGGACACUGUAUGUCUUUAUUUGUGAAAUGAAGACGUUUGGUGCUCCAUAUAGUGAUAUGAUCUUAAAGUAGGACGAAUAUUGUGAACAUGGAAGUAAAACAUGGUAAAUAUAUAUGAGGCACCAAGCAAUUUAAAAUACAGAUUCCCUGCUAAAGUUUAUAAAUGAACAGUGACCUCAAAGCUAUUUUCCAAGCAUACAACAUAACAGCCGUAAACAAUAAAGAAAGACGGAAACGGUUGAAUUUUGCGCGCAAGGUUAUGUACUCUCGUUCUAAUUGAUACAAGUUGCAGUUUGCAGUUUUUGCUUGCAAAAUUGGAGUGUUUUAGGGCAAUGCAUAUGCGUAUUUGGGCGAUUAGAUAAAACAGAAUGAUCUUUUAAAAAGAAAACAAAACGGGAUGUAGUGUGUGUGAUAAGAAGUUCUAUUUAGAGACGCCUCCUUAGCAAUAAUACAAUGAAGAGGGACACUUCCAAUCAGCGUUAAAAGUAGAAUAAAUUACACAUACACACAGUCACUCACACGGGGGAAAGGGUAGCCCACUGGGUUUGAUUGGCCGUCUGCGGAUCUCGAGUGUACAUAAUGUGGUGCGAUCGUCUGCGGCCAACGGAAUCCAUUGCACUCAGGGGAGGACAGGUUAAAAUCAUGCAAGCUAUUGAAAUUGGCUUAACGAUCUCUCUCUAUAUAUGCAAGCAAAAUGUAUAGCAAAGCAAAAUGCCGAACAAAUCAGUGGUCAAGUGUGCGAGUUCAAGGAAGCGAUUGUUUUAGCGCGCGAGCAUGAAUGUAAAGGCUAACACGUGAUUUAGAAAUGCGAGAAGAGAGUACAGAACAAAAUCAUAACACGAACACUAAUAAAGAGGAAGAAAAAAUUUAAAAUGUUCAAGAAAAUGUGUGAUAAUAUUUAAAAAAAAUAAUAAUCUCUAACAUUAAUUUGAGGGGAAAAUAUACAAGAGGAAGCCUAUAGAUAUACUACUUACAUGCUACUACAACACCUAUUCACGAGACGAGACAUCCUAACAAGAAGUCAGCAAGUGACUUUAAAAAAAUGGACAAUAGCGGGAAACCGUUGGUCAUUUGACCGUGGACAACGUUCUUCUGUAUUUCAUCGGUGAGUGGCGAAAUUUCUUUGGGCAUUUUUUAGAAGCUAUUUGUCUCUCAUGUGAUAUCGAGAUGGGAGUUUCAAUAAGGUAAUGACAAUGAGCUGCUGGUGUUACCCGCGCUUAACAAAUUUCUUUGUGCUGUUGUGUCAGCCCGGUCUGAAGCUGUCAAAAAAUCGACUAAAUCUCGUCAGCUGAUCAGAGCUGUCUCAUGGGUUGCCUUAUAAUAGGAAUGCUUCAAAGGGCUGCAGAGCGGCUUCACGGUAGUUGAUUGGAAUCUUAACCAGGGCUGAUUAAAGAUAGAUAUCGUCAGUACUUCAGCUCUUUCAUGGCCGCUCCGGAAUCGAAUUGUCACAAUAAACAAGUCAUCAAGCGUAGUUGCUUUUUUUUUCUCCAUGACUACUGUGUAUCAACUGAUAAUGCUGUCAUUUUUUUUUCUGUAAACAACAAGAUUGCUACGAUUAUCGAUGUACAGACAAAAUAAAUGACGCUCAUUAAAAAAACAUCAUUUUAGAGUUAAUCACUAAUACUUCUGAUAACACGACUCUUUUAUCUUUUGGAAAUACUUCGUUAAAAUUGAUUUAUAGCCAUCUAAAAAGAGUAGCUACUCACAAAAUAAACGUUGAAUAAAUUACAAAAUAUGGAGAAUCAUGGACUUGACAAUGAAUGAAAUUUUCAUCAACUGUAGCACCAUUGCAUCUUGUGUCAUUUCGAAUGUGUAUUGUUUAUUUACAAGCAUUGAUAGCAGUUAAACUAAAAAAAUCAUACAAUCGAAAAUAAUUGUCAAUUUUACUAUGAAUUAAGGUCACAUUGUUUAGGUUGAUUCUCAAAUCGACGAACCUCUUAGUAUGCAACUAUUAGUUGCCACAAUGGCCAUCCUUGUUCCUUCCGAAUUGUCAAGGGCACACAGCUCAAUGAUUCACCAGUCAACCGCCUUUAUUUUUCUAUUCACGAUUGCUGUCAUGCAGAUGCUGCUCCAAUUUGAUUUGAUUUGACAAUGAUUUUUGUAUCUCUAUUUCCGCGAAUUUAGAAACGGGGAUCCAUUGUUCACUAUAGUAGACAGUACUGUAAUUGUAAAUGUCAAUCUUUGAUUUUCAAAUACGCUCUUGACUGCCCAUUUAACUCGACUUAUUAUUAUGAAACGAUUGUAUACAGCUCCCCAAUUUUUGAUAUUCAAAAUUUAUUUUUUUUCCUGAUAUUCCAAUUGUUUCUCUUACUUGCUAAUCAAGGUGCGAUAAGAAGCGUUACCGAAAUUCAUUCGAAUCAUUCAGUCAUACAGUCAUUACACUCACACAUACAAAGAAUACUCGACGCAAAGCGGGACGACACUCAGAGAAAGAAACGAGAAAACAUGAAUCGUACUAUACUGCCCAGAAAAUUUAAACUUACGAAAGUGAGAUUUAAGAAUUUUACAACAAUUCACGAUAAGAUUUUUCACUAGUAGGAAACCGAAACCCAGACGCAAAUCAAGGAGAAAAACGCUACCCAAACUGUACAGUUGUUGCGCCACCAAAUCUUUUGUUUUGAGCUUAUGACAAUUACCUUUUUUGUAAGGUUUUAAUUUAUAAGACGUUCGUGUGUAAUAAAGAGAAUAUCUUCUGCAGUGAGGCUACAAUUGUUGCUCAUAAUGCUCAACUGGUUUGAUUUAACCCAAUAGUUUGGACUCCUGUAUUGAAAAAUUGGAAAAUCAGCCAAAGGCAAAUAGCAGCAACAUUUUUUAUUUUUGUUAACAUAUUUAUUAAUGACAGUUUUGAGUAAAACAGUGAGCGACAACGUUAUCAGCAUUACACAAGGAAUGAAGUCUAUAUAUGUAGCAUUUAAAAAAGUAAUAUCUGAUGAAAACACAAAGAGCUAGCCUAUUCAUUUAAAAUAGUUAUUUACCUUAAAGACGAAGCAAGUAAUAGCAAGGUAAAAAUAACAAUUAAAUUCUUAUAGCCGAAAUACUAGUCAGUUAGAAAAAGAACUCACGUAUAGGACGUCUGCUAAUCGCUAAAAGAGCAACAAAUUUAAAAUCAAGUGAAAGAUAAAAUGUAAUUCAAUCUUCUUCCUCUCGUGGACAGCGAAUAAAAAACAAAUACAAAAAGAUACUUUGCGAAUAAGAUCAAAACACACACGAAAGCCCUAACAAAAAAGGAAUGCACACAAAACAAAACAAUAUCACGUCAUCUAGGAGAAAAAAACAAAUAAAAGCGCUCUGUUGUACAGAAAAUAUUUUUUCUCUAUAUUUCUCUAUAUCGGUUAAUAACUAGUAAGAUUACUAUUAAGAACAAAGUAUUUAAAUAAAACAUAAGCUACUUGGAUGACGAAAAGCAUUGACAGACCGGCCAAAGAUGGCACUGCGUGCGAGUGCUGUCACCACCUGCAGUGAACCCUCUCUAGAUCAAUCCCCCUAUUUUCGUGCACUGUAGGUUGUGAAGAUUUUACAAUCCCAUUUAGACGCUGCAUAGCUCUCGAAUCACUGUUUCUUUUCUUUUCCAUAUAUCUCAAUAUUGUAAUCAUACAAAAAAGUUGCAAUAAAUUUUAACCCUGUUAGAAAACUCGUGACACGUUUUUUACAGACGACUGUCGUGACAGCGAGUCGCAAGCGGCGCCAUCUUGGGUAUGUCAACCUGGAAAAGAGAAAAUUAGCAAAUAUAUAUAUAAGCGCAGCAGAGGCAGCAGCAUUAUUGUGAGAUAUAAAAAGCAAACAAACAAACAAAAAAAUCGACACGUGUUAAUUUUAAUUUUUCCUCCUAACCCUUUCUCUUGUAUUAGAUAAGGCAUUUAUUUUUUCUUGAAAUCUUGAUGUUGAUAAAAAAAAUAUUGCAAAACGAAAGCGAAACAAGCGUUGCUAUUGGGAGGAAUCGGCGGAAAAGCGUUUGACAGAAGUAUAAAUAAACAAAACAUGUUUAGAGAUGGAUCGUGUAUAUUGUUACAUUUAAUCGUAAGUCCAUUUUGAAGUUACUGACAAGUUAAUGAAGAAUCUCUCAAAAUAGUGUUGAAAGAAUCGUAGGAAAAUCAUUCAUCUCUAUCUACACAGGCAGUGCAAGGAAUACAAUAAAAUACCAAUUAGCCCUUCCUCGGUUUGACAGCAGUUUGCCAUUACACAAACACGUACACACAGUUCCAGUUACCGAACGAAAAACAAACGGAAACACACUCAUGUACACACAUACAUACACUCAUUUCAGCAUACACAGAAACUUUAGUCACUUCAAUCCGAGAAUAAAAUCAACCACACCAACAGGUUUAAAGGCAUACCCAAGAACAUAGAAAAGAGAUGAUGUAUUAACAAUAACCUAUAACAAUGGAAAAAUAGCGACUAACGAAGAAAAAUCAAGAUGAAAAAUGGACAAUUGAAAAUUGGUUUUCAUGUUAUUUAAUAAAACGAAACAAGUUAAUAAGAUUAAAGGAGAAUCAAGUGAUGGCUUUCAAAAUUAUAUAAAAGAAGAAUCUAAAAAAAUAAAUAAAGUUAAUAAAAGCUAACAAUUUUUCGCCUUUUGCAUUAAACACACAUCACGUACACGAAACAUACAUACACUGACACAUGUAACACAAACAUACAAAACAUCAAUGCUAGCCAACAACCAGUGAUUAGGAAAAGUAACAAUACUAAAUUAUAUUUCUCUCUGUUUCUGUCUCUCUGAAGAUAAUAGAAACAAUAUGAAGGAAAACACUUACACAAGAACAAAAAAAAUCACAAUACAUAAAUGAUAAAACAAACGGAAAGACUUUGAAAAUUUUACCGCACUCGUAGAUAAACGACACCGUUCAAUUUCUUCCUGGUAGAUAUCCCUGUCUCUAAGGCAACGCAAAUAUGCAAAAGCAAAUACACACACACUCACACUCACAAACAUUGAUUACCUAAUACACAAAGAAGGAACGUGCGAGCGUAUGAAGCGAAUCGCCCAUCUUUUGUGCGACCCCACCGGUCACGUCUCGGGACUACCACAACUUUUACAACUACUGCUACCAAAUUUCCUUUCCCAACUCACACAAACCUAACACAGAAGAUACACACAUUUCAAGAGAAGUCGUAGAAGAACUCUUUUCGUUCUGCCCGAAACUUAUUGGUACCUUCACUUCAAGGAAUAGAACAAAUCACUUUACAACAGGAAAUACAACAGCUCGAGGGAGAACAGUAGUACCCAAAAGAAAACACAAACCAACAAGAA